UACGUAGGUGACAAGCGUUGUCCGGAUUUACUGGGCGUAAAGAGCGCGCAGGCGGUCGUUCAAGUCGAGUGUGAAAGCCCCCGGCUCAACUGGGGAGGGUCAUUCGAUACUGUGCGACUAGAGUGCGGGAAGGGGCAACUGGAAUUCUCGGUGUAGCGGUGAAAUGCGUAGAUAUCGAGAGGAACACCUGCGGCGAAGGCGGGUUGCUGGGCCGACACUGACGCUGAUGCGCGAAAGCCAGGGGAGCGAACGGG
rnacentral:rRNA from 1 species